UACGAAGGGUGCAAGCGUUAGUCGGAAUUACUGGGCGUAAAGCGUGCGUAGGCGGUUUUCUAAGUCUGCCGUGAAAGCCCCGGGCUCAACCUGGGAAUGGCGGUGGAUACUGGAAAGCUGGAGUGCGGUAGAGGAGUGUGGAAUUCCCGGUGUAGCGGUGAAAUGCGUAGAGAUCGGGAGGAACAUCAGUGGCGAAGGCGGCCCUCUGGACCAGCACUGACGCUGAGGCACGAAAGCGUGGGGAGCAAACAGG
rnacentral:rRNA from 1 species